rnacentral:tRNA from 1 species
GGCGGCGUAGCUCAGAGGUAGAGCAGUGCUCUCAUAAGGCACCUGUCGGAGGUUCGAGUCCUCCCGCCGCCA